AGAGUUUGAUCCUGGCUCAGGAUGAACGCUAGCUACAGGCUUAACACAUGCAAGUCGAGGGGCAGCAUCAUCAAAGCUUGCUUUGAUGGAUGGCGACCGGCGCACGGGUGAGUAACACGUAUCCAACCUGCCGACAACACUGGGAUAGCCUUUCGAAAGAAAGAUUAAUACCGGAUGGCAUAGUUUUCCCGCAUGGGAUGAUUAUUAAAGAAUUUCGGUUGUCGAUGGGGAUGCGUUCCAUUAGGCAGUUGGCGGGGUAACGGCCCACCAAACCUACGAUGGAUAGGGGUUCUGAGAGGAAGGUCCCCCACAUUGGAACUGAGACACGGUCCAAACUCCUACGGGAGGCAGCAGUGAGGAAUAUUGGUCAAUGGACGAGAGUCUGAACCAGCCAAGUAGCGUGAAGGAUGACUGCCCUAUGGGUUGUAAACUUCUUUUAUACGGGAAUAAAGUGAGCCACGUGUGGCUUUUUGUAUGUACCGUAUGAAUAAGGAUCGGCUAACUCCGUGCCAGCAGCCGCGGUAAUACGGAGGAUCCGAGCGUUAUCCGGAUUUAUUGGGUUUAAAGGGAGCGUAGGCGGACGCUUAAGUCAGUUGUGAAAGUUUGCGGCUCAACCGUAAAAUUGCAGUUGAUACUGGCGACCUUGAGUGCAACAGAGGUAGGCGGAAUUCGUGGUGUAGCGGUGAAAUGCUUAGAUAUCACGAAGAACUCCGAUUGCGAAGGCAGCUUACUGGACUGUAACUGACGCUGAUGCUCGAAAGUGUGGGUAUCAAACAGGAUUAGAUACCCUGGUAGUCCACACAGUAAACGAUGAAUACUCGCUGUUUGCGAUAUACAGCAAGCGGCCAAGCGAAAGCAUUAAGUAUUCCACCUGGGGAGUACGCCGGCAACGGUGAAACUCAAAGGAAUUGACGGGGGCCCGCACAAGCGGAGGAACAUGUGGUUUAA
rnacentral:rRNA from 1 species